rnacentral:rRNA from 1 species
UACAGAGGUCUCAAGCGUUGUUCGGAUUCAUUGGGCGUAAAGGGUGCGUAGGCGGCGCGGUAAGUCGGGUGUGAAAUCUCGGAGCUUAACUCCGAAACUGCAUUCGAUACUGCCGUGCUUGAGGACUGGAGAGGAGACUGGAAUUUACGGUGUAGCGGUGAAAUGCGUAGAUAUCGUAAGGAAGACCAGUGGCGAAGGCGGGUCUCUGGGCAACUACUGACGCUGAGGAGCGAAAGCGUGGGGAGCGAACAGG